UAACUUCUACUUCCCGGUACUGCCUGCCACAAUUUUAUCCCUUAGAACCCAGAACAGCUGGGAGCAGAUAAAAUCUUCUUGGGUUAUGAGUUCCCAGAUGAUGCUGCUGGCCUGCGGACUGUACUUUGUGAACUUAUGCUGGAGCAGAUGGAUCAGAAACCCCGGCCAGAGGAUGCUCAGGACCCAUCAAGCCCCCGCGAGGAAGGACUCAGACCCCCAACCCCACCAAAUUAAAGCAGGCAAUGGAGAAUUAUACUGAAGGGAUUCUUCGGCUGGGCAAAAACAUGAUUAGAUCUGCAUUCUAAAGACUGCUCGCAGAGUAGAGGAUGGAUUGGAGCAGGGAGUCUACUGCAAUAGUACAGAUGCGAUAGUGAAGACUUCAUUUAAAGCAGCACCAGCAAGAAUGAGGAAGAAGGGAUUAAUAUGAAAAACGUUAAAGAGGUGGAAUGUAUAAGGCUCGAUGGCCGAAUGAUGGGAGGUAGGAAUAGGGAGUGUGUAGAAGGAGUCUAAGAU
rnacentral:lncRNA from 1 species